rnacentral:rRNA from 1 species
UACGUAGGGUGCGAGCGUUAAUCGGAAUUACUGGGCGUAAAGGGUGCGCAGGCGGUUAUAUAAGUUGGAUGUGAAAUCCCCGAGCUUAACUUGGGAAUGGCAUUCAAAACUGUAUAUCUAGAGUUUGUCAGAGGGGGGUAGAAUUCCAAGUGUAGCAGUGAAAUGCGUAGAGAUUUGGAGGAAUACCGGUGGCGAAGGCGGCCCCCUGGGAUAGAACUGACGCUCAGGCACGAAAGCGUGGGUAGCAAACAGG